ACCAGCAGCUAUAUCAUCCUGCAACUAACAACUGGCAAGCACUGAUACUCAGCAGGUGUGAGCCUGGCCAGUACCUGGAUGGGAGACGUCCUGGGAAAGCUAAGGUUGCUGCUGGAA
rnacentral:rRNA from 1 species